GCCGUAACAUAGACAGUUCACAUACCCUACAUGUCCGCCCGGGAACUACGAGCACCAGCUUAAAACCCAAAGGACUUGGCGGUGCUUUACACCCACCUAGAGGAGCCUGUUCUAGAACCGAUAAUCCCCGUUCAACCUCACCCUUCCUUGUUCUUUCCGCCUAUAUACCGCCGUCGUCAGUUUACCCCAUGAGGGCCUAAUAGUAAGCAAAAUCGGCACAACCCAAAACGUCAGGUCGAGGUGUAGCGUAUGGAAGGGGAAGAAAUGGGCUACAUUCCCUACUAUAGGGUAUACGAAUGAUUUCGCUGAAAUGCAUUUCUGAAGGAGGAUUUAGCAGUAAGCAGGAAGUAGAGUGUCUUGCUGAAACCGGCUCUGAAGCGUGCACACACCGCCCGUCACCCUCCCCCAAGUCAA
rnacentral:rRNA from 1 species